rnacentral:rRNA from 1 species
UGAGUAACCUGCCCUUAACUCUGGGAUAAGCCUGGGAAACUGGGUCUAAUACCGGAUAUGACUCCUCAUCGCAUGGUGGGGGGUGGAAAGCUUUUUGUGGUUUUGGAUGGACUCGCGGCCUAUCAGCUUGUUGGUGAGGUAAUGGCCUACCAAGGCGACGACGGGUAGCCGGCCUGAGAGGGUGACCGGCCACACUGGGACUGAGACACGGCCCAGACUCCUACGGGAGGCAG